rnacentral:rRNA from 1 species
AUUGAACGCUGGCGGCAUGCCUUACACAUGCAAGUCGAACGGCAGCGCGGGGCAACCUGGCGGCGAGUGGCGAACGGGUGAGUAAUAUAUCGGAACAUACCCUAGAGUGGGGGAUAACGUAGCGAAAGUUACGCUAAUACCGCAUACGCACUAAGGUGGAAAGUGGGGGAUUCGCAAGAACCUCAUGCUCAUGGAGUGGCCGAUAUCUGAUUAGCUAGUUGGUGAGGUAAAGGCUCACCAAGGCAACGAUCAGUAGCUGGUUUGAGAGAACGACCAGCCACACUGGAACUGAGACACGGUCCAGACUCCUACGGAGGCAGCAGUGGGAAUUUUGGACAAUGGGGGCAACCCUGAUCCAGCAAUGCCGCGUGAGUGAAGAAGGCCUCGGUUGUAAG